rnacentral:rRNA from 1 species
GACGAACGCUGGCGGCGUGCUUAACACAUGCAAGUCGAGCGGAAAGGCCCUUCGGGGUACUCGAGCGGCGAACGGGUGAGUAACACGUGAGCAACCUACCCUAGGCUUUGGGAUAACCCCGGGAAACCGGGGCUAAUACCGAAUAGGACCUCCGGUCGCAUGACCGGGGGUGGAAAGUUUUUCGGCCUGGGAUGGGCUCGCGGCCUAUCAGCUUGUUGGUGGGGUGAUGGCCUACCAAGGCGACGACGGGUAGCCGGCCUGAGAGGGCGACCGGGCACACUGGGAAUGAGACACGGCCCAGACCCCUACGGGAGGCAGCAGUGGGGAAUAUUGCACAAUGGGCGGAAGCCUGAUGCAGCGACGCCGCGUGAGGGAUGACGGCCUUCGGGUUGUAAACCUCUUUCAGCAGGGACGAAGCGUAAGUGACGGUACCUGCAGAAGAAGCGCCGGCCAACUACGUGCCAGCAGCCGCCGCAGUAA